UAGGGAAUAUUGGUUAAUGUGCGAAAGCGCGAACCAGCUACGCCGCGUGUGCGAUGAAGGCCUUCGGGUCGUAAAGCACUUUUUUCAGGGAAGAGGAAGGACGGUACCUGCAGAAUAAGUCUCGGCUAACUACGUGCCAGCAGCCGCGGUAAAACGUAGGAGACGAGCGUUAUCCGGAUUUACUGGUCGUAAAGCGCGUGCAGGCGGCAUGGCAAGUUGGAUGUGAAAGCUCCCGGCUUAACUGGGAGAGGUCGUUCAAUACUGCCAGGAUGGAGAGUGGUAGAGGGAAGUGGAAGUACGGGUGUAGUGGUGAAAUGCGUAGAUAUCCGGAGGAACAACAGUGGCGAAAGCGGAUUCCUGGCCCAUUACUGACGCUCAGACGCGAAAGCUAGGGUAGCAAACGG
rnacentral:rRNA from 1 species